CCCUUCCUUCCACCUAGUGUGCCCACUUCAGCUAAACUCCUCUGUUGAUUGAGGGUUAUUUACUCCUGUGGCUGUGGUCUAGAGUGGAGAAGUGCUCCGUCAGUAGGUAAUGAGUAAGAGUCAGCAGAGGAGGCAGCUGUCUUCCUGGCAGUCUCCUUACCCUGGAUUGGUCAUCAAAAACACUGCUGGAGAUCUGUUUACAGCAUUUUGCAAUUCAAGAAGGGUAAGGGAGGACUUCACCCUUCUUUCAGGAGACCUGCAAGUUUCGCUUGCUAAUUUAAUGUUUCUAGAUAUUUUUGAACAGCAGCCCAGUACCUGGAUGUUGCUAGAUGUGACGGAAGAUACAAAGAAGAACACAUGGGGUCUGCCUUCAACAUAGUUAGACAUAUAAAAAGUCAAGUUAGGAUAAAGAAAUGAAGAGUGUUUCAAGAUAGUAUAUGAUUAAGUAUCAAUUAAGUAAGUACUAUGGGCCUGCAAGAGGGAGUACCCCUGCAGGCUGGAGGGAUCACAGAGGGUUUAUGGAAGAGAUGGGCCUCAAAGGAACCUGGGUAAGUCAAUAAAAUUGUAAAGGAAAAGACAAAUUCUCAUGCUUAGUGAUGACUUACUGAGUUCUCAUUAUGUACAACAAACUGUAGAAGAGCUGUCUCAAGUAGUCUUAGGCUAAUGUCCCCAUGGGCCUAAGAUUGCAGCUGCAACUCCUUACAGAGCUGCAUUUCGAACAUAAAGAAAGGGGCGAGGGCCAAACAUGUUCUCCUUGUGAACUCUCUCCAUUUAGGGAGAAAGUCUUUGAAAAAAGAUUUACCCUGAAAUCUCACUGGCCAGAACUAACUCUUAUGCCUACCCCUAGGCAAUUACUGGCAAAGGUUUAAGCCAAUCGUGAUUCUUCCCUGGGCUGGCAUAGACUGUGCACAGCUUUGAUAAGAUCAAGGGAUCCCCAUUUACUAACUGAAUAGAACCAGAGUUCUGUCUGGCAGAGAAGAAAGUGAGGAUGGUGGAUGAGUAGGCAGUGAACAGUGUUUGCCACAUUUACCAUUAAUGAACCAUGCCCAUGUGGCUUCUACACUGGCUGUAGCCAGUCCUUGACCUUGGCCUUCAUUUACAACUUGGAAUUUUUUCCCUAUUGAAAAUUAUUGUUCCUGCACAAUGGAUCUGACACAUGCAAGGAAAGCAACUCAAAAUUCCAUCAGUAAAUUCUUAUUCGGAGAUCCUUUGGUCACAUAAGAUUGAUGAAUUGUCAUACCUUUAUGUAUUUUAAGUUUGAAAAAUGUUUUAAGUUAGGUAUCAUUUUUAUGACUCCUAACUAAACUAGCUAAAAAUUAACCUACAGACCUCUAGUUUCAAGACAAGAAUAGAUAAGUCUUUAGAUACAUCCAGAUAAGUUUUAGAUAAAAAGGCUUCUUAUAUUGUAGUCGCUAGAUAUAUUUUUUUUUUGGUCUUAAUUCCUCAUUGGAUUGAAAUCUAGAGGGCAGAGUUCAAUGAGCUCUAGAACUGAGUGAUCCAGUAUAGUAACCACUAGCUAUAUAUGACUACUGAGCACUUGAAAUGUGGUUAAUGAGAUGGAGGAAAUGAAUUUUUCAUUGUGUUUUAAUUUUAAUGUAAAGUCUGAUUUUAUUAUUGAAAAACUUUUAAGUAUAUUUGGAAUAAUUUAUGUAUGGGAAUGUCCUUUCUCAGCUGUAAGCUGUAUGAAACCUAAAAAAGCUUGACUAUUUCCGAUGAAAACGUAGUGUUUGAGAUGAGUUGUGUCAUAAGUAUAAAACAUAUACUUCAUUUUAAAGAUGUAGUAUGGUAAAAACUAUGUAAAUAUAUCUCUUAAAUAAUUUCUUAUAUUGACUACAUCAUGAAAUGUCAAUACUUCAAAUAUACUGGGUUAAAGAAAAUAUACUACUUAAAUUAAUUUUACCUACUUAUUUUUACUGUGUUUCAAGGUGGCUAUUAGAAAAUUCUAAAUUACAUGUGUGGCUUUUGUUAUAUUUCUCUUGGACAGCGUUGCUGGAGUAUAUACUGAGCACUCAAAUGUUUGUUGAAUGAAUGCUUUGGUGACUUGACCAAGGUCACUCAGAAAGAUUCAAGACUGAGUCCCAGGUUCCCUUUCUCUCCAUGUCAUCUUCCUUUCCACCAUUCCUUGUGGCCUUCUGUAUCCCAUACUGUGCUUCCUGGUCACACUCUUAUACCCACCUGCAGGACAGAAACUUUCCUCAUGGAGUGAGUUUUACAAACUCUGAGGAGAGGGAGAAACAUCUGUGUUGAGGGUGUGUAAAGGCAGCAGCUUAUAGAAAAUGGAGCUCCCUUUGAUAGAGAGAAGUAAGUGAUUUAGGAUGCCAAAUCUCAGAUGACCCUUUUGUUUUAUAUUUUGCCAUUGCUGGGUGUCUUUUCUGAGAUCGCCAGUCAGCGCAUUGAAUGUUCUUGUUCCAACUUUCUCGUUUCAUAAAAAGGGUGGUUUUACACUUCUGGACAGAUUUCUUGCUAUCCCCAGGGCCCUAGUGACACAGAGCAAACAAGAGCAACGUAGGCUGUCUGAACACAAUGGGAGGAAAGCCGAGAACAAGCGGCCACCCACGCUGCUCACCAGAGAAGCCCAGCAUUCCCCUGGCUCAGAGAGCAGUUGCUUUGUUAGACCCUACACCAGAAGAUUUGCUCUAAACCCGCUGAGACCAUUCCCCCAGAUUGCAAUACUUACAGAACAGCGCUGCACACUGCUCUUCAUAAAACACGCACGAAACCAGCUGGGCCUGUGAAUCAUCCACUGAAGUGAAAGCGCUGUAAUUUCACAUUUCCAAUUUUUGGUCCUCAUGUUCAAGCUGAAAGUGCCAUUAUUUUUGCAGGAUUUCAUUCAAUAGACAUUCAUUCACCAAAUAUGUAUUGGAUACCUGCUAUAUGUCAGGCAAUAUGAGAUGCCAAGAAAAAUAAUACAUGCUGAUUUAUUGGUCUAUACUAUAUAACAAUGACUUAUGUAGCUGACCUAUAAAUAAGUUAUAUAUUUAUUUAUCUGAACUAUCAUAGACCAAGAGAGGCACAGAUAAUUUUUAAGAGCAUAACCCAAAGAUGCAUCUUUACAUAAGAAGUAUACUCACCAUUCUGGUUCAAAAACAAGGUCUCUCUGGACCAAUUUUUUGUCUCUGGCAGUGGCAUUAAAACACUUGGUGUGAUUCUAGGAUACUUUCUAAGGAACUAAUUAGAGAUUAUGGUUAAAGAUGUAUGUAUACUGAUGUCAUUGCAGUGUUAUUUAAGAGAGAAAAGAAAACUCUCUAAAUAAGAGUGGUUUAGUAAAAUUUGGGCCUGUCCUUAUGAUGGCAAAUCAUUACAAAUCAUGUUUUAAAGAAUAUUUAGUAAUGUAAGAAAAUAGUUCCCUUAUAUGCGAAGAUUUAAAAGUCAGGAUAUAAAAAUACACAUUACAGGUGUUUUCCAGUUUGGAAAAAAUAUCUGUAUACAUAUGCAGAGAAAAGACUAGAAGGAUAUAUACCAAAAUAUUAGCAAUUUACCUCUGAGAUGAGGUUAUGUAUGGCUUUAUCUUCCUAUUUACAUUCUAUAGUUAUAAAAUGUUUAAUUGUUCACUAUUUCUGAAAUAUGAAAAAACAAACUUUUAAUUUUUAUUCAUUUUAUUUAUUAUUAUUAUUAUUAUUAUUAUUAUUAUUACCAUUUUAGUGAGGGAGACUUGCCAUGUUGCCCAGGUUGAUCUUGAACUCCCAGCCUCAAGCAAUCCUCCUGCCUUGGCAUCCCAAAGUGCUGGGAUUACAGGCAUGAGCCACUGCGCCCAGCCAUAACAAACUUUUAAAAGAAAAUUGGUGCGGGGCCAUUAUUUUCCUCUGUGGAAUUAAUUUUUAAAUUUUUAAAAUACCUAGCCUCCCCCACUCCUCAUUUCUAUAGUUCCUUAAAUAAUUUAUUCUGGAUUUAUCACACUUGACUUUAUCUAAAACUUUUGAACCAAUUUGUAACUGUCUAUGACACAUUUUGUGGACAAUUAAAUCCAUAAACUUACCUCCUGAUAUCACCUGGGGUAAUACUAUCAACGUUUCUGGGUCAUUGAGAAGCCUAGAUGAAACGAAAAAUGUGUGAAGUCUAGUUGAGUGCUUGGCCCAUGAUGAGCCUGUGAUGAGCCCUCGCUACUGUUCCCUACCUGGCUUUCUUCUCUUCACAACUCUCUGCCUUGUCUAGCAUUUGUUUUCUGUAUAGUUAAAAAUCUAGGCCAGGUGCGGUGGCUGACACCUGUAAUCCCAGCACUUUUUGAAAGGCCAAGGCAGGUGGAUCACCUGAGGUCGGGAGUUCGUGACCAGCCUGGCCAACAUGGUGAAACCCCAUUUCUACGAAAAAUACAAAAAAUUAGUCAAGCGUGGUGGCGGACACCUGUAACCCCAGCUACUCAGGAGGCUGAGGUAGGAGAAUCACUUGAACCUGGGAGGUGGAGGUUGCAGUGAGCCAAGAUUGCACCACUGCACUCCAGCCCAGGCAACAAGAGUGAAACUCUGUCUCAAAAAAAAAUUUAAAAAUCGAUUGCUUUUUAUUGUGGUAAAAUAUACAUAUUUUUAAGUGUACAGCUAAGUGGUAUUAAGUAUAUUCACAUUGUUGUACAACUAUCACCACCAUCCAUCUCCAGAACACCUUCAUUUGCCUGAACUGCAAGUCUGGACACUUUAAGCACUAACUCCUCAUUCCCCGCUCCUCCUAGCCCCUGGCAACCACCAUUCUAUUUUCUAUCUCUAUGAAUUUGACUACUCUAGGUACGUUUUAUAAGUGGACCCAUACAGGAUUUGUUCUUUUUGACUGGCUUAUUUCCCUUAGGAUAAUGUUCUCGAGCUUCACCCAUGUGUCCGAAAUUUCCUUUUAAAGACUCGAUAAUGUUCCAUUGUCUACACAUACCACAUAUUGUUUAUCCACUCAUCUGUCCAUGGACUUUGGGUUACUUGCCCCUUUUUUGGCUAUUGCGAAUAAUUCUGCUCUGAAAAUGAAUGUAUAGAUAUUUGUUUAAGCAACUCUUUUGCUCAAAGGAGAAUUGCUGGAUCAUAUAAUAUUAGGUUGGUACAAAAGUAAUUGCAGCUUUUCCCAUUCCUUUUAAAGGGAAACAUUUUUUGAGGAACUGCUAAACUGUGUUCUAUAGCAGCUCUACCAUUUUACUUUAUAUGGUAUGAUUUUUAUGCAUUUUUGUUUUUCCUAAUUAGAUUGCUAUCUUCCUGAGAUCAUUUACCCUAUGGCAUUCACCUCUGAAUCUCUCAGAGCCCCUACAAAAUUGCCUCAAGCAUUAUAGAUGCUCAAUAAAUAUGGGAAUAAAAGGUUUGUUUCAAGCUCCUGGAAGCUCAUCUUCUCCACUCUCAGUGUGUUCCUUCUUCUCAUCCUUAUUCUUUCCUCAGCUCUCAUAUUCCAUGAUUUAGUAGACCUAUGCUAAUAAUUUCCAUAUCUUUAAUGAUUUAUAGUCUUUGGCCAUGCAGCUGUUAAGAGCCUGGACACUGAGGUCAGGAAGACCUGGCCUCAAGGCCUGGCUCUACCACUUACCAGUUGUAUGACCAUAGGCAAGCUUCUAAUCUCUUGUUUCGGAUAUUUUUUGCUGCAUAAUGAAACACUUCCAAACGUAGUGGCCUGAUCAAUGGCUAUUUUAUUAUUUACUAGAAUCCUUUGGGUGUACUGGGUCAAUUCUUGUAUUCCACAUUGUGUCAGCUGGGGUCACUCACAUGGCUGCGUUCAUCAUUGAGCUUGGCUAGGUUUCCAGUUACCAAGAAGGCCUCACUCACGUAUCUGACACUUCAUGUCUUGGGUAGCUGAAAUUGCCGGGGGCUGGCUGGGUCUUCCCCUCUUCCUUCUUAGUCUCUCAUAAAAAUUGGACCCUUUUCUCCAUGUGGCCUUUGUCCAUGUGGCCUUUCUCUCUUAACAGGUUUUUCAGACUUCCUGACAUGGCAACUGGCUUCAAAGAGAGCGGAAAUGGAAGUUGCCAGCGUUCUUAAGACGUAAGCCAGAACGAGCAUGUCAUCACUUCCAAUUCAUUCUUUUGUUGAAAGCCACCACAGGCCAGCCAAGGCUCAACAGGAGGGGAAAUAGACUCCAACACUCAGUGGGAAGAAAGGGCAUUUGCAUAUUGGGAUGGAGGAAUUCAUGGCCAUAUUUGCAGACAACUCAUCUCUAACCCUCAGUUUCCCCAUCUGUAAAAUGGGAGAUAAUAAUAAUAGCUAUCUUUGUAAGGCUACAGUGAUGAUAAAAUGUAAUAAUGCAUAUAAGAUGUGCACUAAUUGUGAUUCAAAUUAUUCUUAUUUUAUUAUUUCUAUUUUAUUCCAAGGUUGAUGUUUUUCAAGUUCAUUUUGAAAUUCCCUUCUCUUUCUUUAUUCAAGAAGAUCAACACACAGCUAAUCAUCACCACAAAGAGUACUGCAAUCAAUAUAAGAAUACCUACCCUCCCUGGUACAAGCCAAGGCUGGCUUCCCAGGAAUCCUCAGGGUUUGCCAGCCUUUGUGCCUGUGCCCCACUUCCCUCUUGAGGUGUGGCUCUUGGACUGAAAGGGCGUGACCAUCUUUGGGAUCCACUUUUGAAAUCCUACAGCUUUCUGCAAUUUGUUUUUAUAAAAUCACAUUAUGCAUCUUGAGAAAUAUUAAUGCCUUCUCUCUUUGAACUUUGAAAUUUCUUUCAUGAAAGAAAAAUAAAAAGCAGAGGUUAUUAGGAUGACAUAAUGCACUCACCUCAUAAUUCAGAUAUUCAAACAAAAAUGAUCUUUCUAUGCUGAUUCGGUCUUCCUCACCAAAUCACCCCCUGGGGAGUGGGAGGAAAAAAAAUAUGCUCAAGAGUCAGCCUGAUUUAAAGAGUAGUCUAACAUGAUCAUUUAAGCAGUUCCUUUUAGAUGCUGUACCAUGUCUCUUGGAGAAGAUGCUGUGUCUCUCUGACAGCCUUUCUUCCUCCUGGUUUCCUCCCUGUGAUGGUUCCUGGGUCUAAGGGGGCUGGCAUGGCUAUUGCUGCUUACUGGACAGAUGGAAGAGCUAGAGUCCUUGGGCCCUGUCCUUCCUCUGCUUUUCAGGGUAAUGUUCCUUGUCUGCCUGCUUGCUGCUUCUUCUACAGGCAUCAGAACCUGAAGUCCAAGGCUGGUAACUAGUCAUUUCCUCUCUGGGUUUGGGAACGGGGUGCUGCCCUUGCCUUAUUCAAUCUUGGCUUAGCUUUUGUGGGUGCCAUGGCUGCUCUGUGGCCUGGCUAUGGCUCCCUAGCUAUCCUAACCCAGACAGUCAGUGCUGAGCCCUCUCUCUGGGGCAACCCUACCCUGAUAUGGUAACCCACUGGCAUUCUCCAUGGCUCACCUCUCAGCCCCUCUGGGUCCAGCCUCUCUCUGACCACGCUGCCAGUGCCAGCCCCUCAUUCUUUCAAAGCUUUUGCUUUCAGAAAUAAUGCCUUGGUGAGCAUAUUGUAUGUGUCUGUUGCUUUCCAGGAAUAUAUAUAGAGAAAUAAAAUUGUGGGAUUUUAGGUUACACACAUUUUUAUAUUUUAAGAUAGUCCCAUAUUUACCUCGAAAGUCACUGUUACCAAUUUACACUCUAUCUCUCCUCAUGCUUGCUAAUUCUGGAGAUUAGCAAAUUGUUUACAGAGUUUGUCAAUCUGAUGGUUGUUAAAAAGGUAUUUUAGUAUUGCUAAGCAUUUUUUCUUAUGUUUAUUGACCAUAAACAUCCUGUGAAUAUCCUGUUCAUAUCUUUGACUUUUUAAAUCAGGUUGGUUUGUUUGUUUUUUGUCUCUUUUUUUUCUUCUUAUAGGUUGAUAUAUCCAGGUGUCUUAGUUAGCCUGGGCUGCCAUAACAAAAUACUAUAGACUGGGUAGCUAGACAACAAAAAUUUCUCACAGUUCUGGAGGCUAGAAAUCCAAAUUCAAGAUGCCAGAAGGGUCAGUGUCUGGUGAGGGUUUGUUACUUGGGUUGCAGACAAUGCCUUCUUGCUGUGUUCUCAUAGGGCCUUUCCUUAGUGUUUGCAAGGAGGGAGGGAAGGAGAGAGAGAGAGAGAGAGAGAGAGAGAGAAGGUCUCUUCCUCUUCUUAGAAGGCCAUCAGGCUGCAUGGACAUGGUAGCUCACACCUGUAAUCCCAGCACUUUGAGAGGCCAAAGUGGGAGGAUUGCUUGAGCCCAGGAGUUUGAGACCAGCCUGGGCAACAUAGGGAUACCCCAUUUCUACAAAAAACGAAAUUUUUUUUAAAAAGGCUACCAGUCCUAUUGGAUUAGGAUCCAACCCUUACGAUCUCAUUUAACCUUAAUUACCUCUUAAAAGCCCUAUCUCUAAAUAUAAUCACAUUGGGGGUUUGUGCUUCAACAUAUGAAUUCAAGAGAGAACACAAUUCAGUCAAUAACACCAGGAUACCAUUCUUUUGCCUGUUAUAUGUGUUUGCAUUAUGUAUGUGUAUGUAUACACAUACACAUAUACAUCUGCAAAUGCAAAUAUUUUCUCCUAGACCAUAACUUUUGUUAAUGAAGUCUUUGUCAUUGAUAAGUUUUUACUUUUGAUGUGUCAAAUUUGUUCACCUUUUUCUUUGUUUUUAUGACUUAAGAAGGCCUUCUAUACAUGUAAGGUCAUGAACAUACUAUUUGUUCAUCUAUAUUUUAGGAGAACUUGCCUAUAAGCCUUUUGAGCCUGAUGCCCUUGCAUGGACUGGAAGGAGGUACACAUUUAAAUAACAGUUCAGUUUCUUGAAUGGUUUAUUAAUGUUUUCUUCCCAAAGUUUGGUUAUUUAUAUUUUCUUAGAAAAUCCUUUUCGUCUGGGUCUCAAAUUCCUUGUUAUAAAAUUGUGCAUAAUGCUCCUUUUAAGUGAUCUUUUAUAUCUGUACAUAUCCCUUUUCAUGCCUGAUAUUGCCUGUUAAGCAAUAGGCAAUAUUGCUUUCUCUUUUUAUUAACUAUUCUAGCCAAAUAAUUUUUACCUUAAUACAAGGCAAAUCUGUGGUUUUAUUGAUCAAUUUUGCUGAGGUUUUUCCUGUUUCAUUAAUUUCUGCUUCUAUAUUAAUUUAUUUCUUACUAUUUACUUGGCUUUAUUUUGUUUUGCUUUUCAAUCUUUUUUAUAUUUCUAAUAAAUAAAUGUAAGACUAGAGGUUUUUUUCUGGAAAUUGCUUUGGCCAUAUUCCAUUAGUUUUGAUGUGUGUUACUUUCAUUGUGGUCUAGUUCUCAGUGGUUUACUUCCUCUUUAAACCAAGAGGUCUUUAGAAGUGUGUUUUUAUAGUUAAGGAGUAUAGAUUUUUUUUUUUGGCUCCCUGUUAAUUUCUAAAUUUAUUGCAUUCUGGCUAAUGAAUGUGGCCUGUAUAAGAACAGUUUUUAAAAAUGUGUUGUUAUUUCCUUUGAGCAUAGAACACAGUCAAAUUUGGUAAACUUUGCAUGUGUGUUUUUAACUUUUAAUAAUGGCAUAAUAUUGAAUGUUUUUACCUUCCAGUGU
rnacentral:lncRNA from 1 species